UUUUUCUUCUUUCCUUCUAUAUUGUAUCUCUGAAUAAGACACACAAAAUCAACUACUGUUUUUUUCAGAUGACUCACAGACAGCUCUCCUUCAUAUUUCUCUCUUGUUCUACAAACUGAAAAUACUCGACUAUUACACUAUAUGUUUUUAAAGACACGUUUGAGAGAUGGAGACUGCUGAAAAACUGCUGAAGAAUGACGUCUUCACUGCAUGGAGAAGUCCAGAGGUGCCUUGCACGGACAUCAUCUAUACAGAGAAUAAUUUUAAAAUGUUCUCAAUGUGAAGAUGCCGAGGAGGAAAAGGUCCGCUUCAUGAGAAGGGAGAAAUGAAAGGAAGAAUAAACGUGGGGUAGGAGCAACAAAAUAAAAGAAUAUUUAAAUGAUUUCAAAUGGAUUGUAAAGUGUUGAAUCAUAAAGGAUUGGCAAAAAAGCCCUCUCCUCAUGAGGUCUAGCUAAUAUUAGGAAUUAUUGCCUCAAACGCUGCAGGUGUGGAUCCAUUUCUUUCACUGCUAGCAAAUGGGGUUGCAACUGCCUUUGACAAUGUAAAAGCUGCACAAUCCCUGUGCCCCAGGGCAGACAAUGAUGUUGGUGAGAUGCUGAUUUUAGGAUAGAAAAUUACAAUGGUUAUAUAGUAAACAGCACCUGGAAGUUUACUAAUGAUUUUUUCAAUUAACAGCAGCACUAUGGUCUGAUUAUUCAUGCAUGCUUUCUAUGAAAGGAAAGAAAAGAGGCAGAUGUUGAAAAGAAUUAGCGGUUGAGAGAUAUUUUUAAUUUUUUUUGUAACUGGAGGUAGAGCCUUCUUCCUGUUAUCACUACUUCUGAUAAUGAGAUGCCAAAACUAGUGAAUUAAAAGUUUUUACAAAAUUUAAAAUGUUUGGACUGUUCUACUCUCCCAUUAACUCCAAAUACUCACAUGAAAUGUGCAUGAAAAUGGAGAAGUAUAUAUGUAUAUAUAUAUAUGUGUGUACAAAUCUUUACACUCUCUGCCUGUAGCUUGAUAUGUAGUUUUGGCAUCCAAGCAAGAAAAAAUAAAAAAAUCCCACCAAGAACUGCAUGGCCAUGCAGAUCUUCAGCUACUGGAUCAUCUAUGAUAAUAAUGGCUGGAUCUCUUCCCUUAGAAGUCCACCAGGUGUGCACCUGCCAGAUUGUAGAAAUCUCUUUCCUGCAGCUGAGACAUGGGAAUUUCUUUGGACAUCAAAGCAAAGGUUUAUUGAAAUCUUACCCUUGCACAUCAUUUUAUCUUCUACUGAAAGAGGUGACAAACAACAGGGCCCACUGUGGAGGUCACUGAGGAAAUGAUGCUGAGAAUUCACUGGACAGACAAAGUCUUUGAUGCAGCUGAAGAAAGAUUGGAGCUAAUGAGAUUAAAGAUCAGAUGCACCAGGAUGAGUUUGGCUCAGUCAAGGAUUUCUCAUACCAAAGAUCUGACUACAAAGCAAAAUACUUUCUGGAGAAACAUCACACAGCCCGGAGUUGUCUGAAUCUGCUGUUCUCAUGUGUUUCUUUGCCAUUUCAGAGAAGCACAAAUACUGGAUCCAUGAAACUUCAGAUGUCUUUGUGAUGUCUUAUUCCUCUACCUUUCACUAACAGGUCAUCAACUUCCCUGGGCCUAUGAGCACUCAAACCUGUGUUUUACGUGACCAAAGGAAAAGUAUGUUCCUCUCUUCUCCACACAGGGACUGUUUUAAGGGAAGGCUCCACCCCCAAGAUGGUGCAGCCUAUUCACUACUGAUGUCCCAGCACUUGGAAAACCACCAAAGACAUCUGCGAGAGAAGGAGGAAAUUAUCCACUCAAAAAAUGCAGUUGCAUUAGUGAUAGGACAGGGCAUCAGACAAUGUCUUACCACAUUACACAGUAAUUCUAGAGAGAGUUGCACUGCACCCUGAGUUGAUGCUUUCCCUGGAUAGGCCCAAGUUUUCACUUAUGAAAUUUCCAAUGUCCAAAUGACACAAUGUAAUCUGUAAUAAGCAGGUAACUCUGAUUAAAACAAAGAGAAAUAAAACUUCAGUCGACUGGCAGGGCUAUGUAAUCUUGGUUUUUAAGUAGGGAUUGCACAUACACCCAGUGGUCUUUUUAAUGCUUUUCAGCUGCUGAAGAUUUCAACUGAAAUUUCUGUAAUAACUUGUGUGUUUGUAUGUGUUCAGUAUAUGUAUGCACAGGAUGGGGGUUUAAGAGAACAAAUUCUUAUAAAGCAAGA
rnacentral:lncRNA from 1 species